AUGCAUGUAGGCGGCACGUGCGGGUACGGGAACCUGUACAGCCAAGGGUACGGGGUGAACAACGCGGCGCUGAGCACGGCGCUGUUCAACGAGGGGGAGAGGUGCGGGGCGUGCUUCGAGAUCCUGUGCGUGAACCAGCCGGGGUGGGCGUGGUGCCUCCCGCGGAGGCCGUCCAUCUUCGUCACCGUCACCAACUUCUACCCGCCCAACUACGCGCUGCCCUCGGACGACAGCGGCUGGUGCAACCCGCCCCGCCCCCACUUCGACGUUGCCAUGCCCAUGUUCCUCCACAUGGCCCAGUACCGCGCCGGCAUCGUCCCCGGCCAAUGGGGCAGGGUGGCGUGCCGGAAGUCUGGCUUGGUGCGGUUCACGAUCAACCUGGUGCUGAUCACCAACGUGGCGGGGACGGGGGACCUGGUGCGCGCCAGCAUGAAGGGGUCCAGCACCGGGUGGAUGCCCAUGCCCGGCAACUGGGGCCAGAACUGGCAGUCCAACGCCAUCCUCGUCGGCCAGCCGGUGUGA
rnacentral:rRNA from 1 species